GAUGAACGCUAGCGGCAGGCUUAACACAUGCAAGUCGAGGGGCAGCGCGGGAUAGCAAUAUCCUGGCGGCGACCGGCGGAAGGGUGCGUAACGCGUGAGCGACAUGCCCGUUGCCCGGGGACAACCGGUGGAAACGCCGACUAAUCCCCGAUGGGAUAUUGUGCCGCAUGGCACGAUAUUGAAAGUUACGGCGGCGACGGAUUGGCUCGCGUCCGAUUAGCUUGUUGGCGGGGUAACGGCCCACCAAGGCUGCGAUCGGUAGGGGUUCUGAGAGGAAGGCCCCCCACAAUGGGACUGAGACACGGCCCAUACUCCUACGGGAGGCAGCAGUGAGGAAUAUUGGUCAAUGGGCGGAAGCCUGAACCAGCCAUGCCGCGUGCGGGAAGGAGGCCCUAUGGGCUGUGAACCGCUUUUGCCUGGGGGCAAUAAGGGCGUCGCGCACGUCCGAUGAGAGUACCAGGCGAAUAAGCAUCGGCUAACUCCGU
rnacentral:rRNA from 1 species